rnacentral:misc_RNA from 1 species
AAAAGACCAAAUACUUUAUUUCAAAUAAUGGCUAAUGGUAUUUACAAGUUUAAUACUGUUUGCACCAUUCUAACGGAACUGAUCUUUUUUACACACCAACUAUGAGAUAUUGAAAUCAAGAAAAUAAGACAACCUGGAGAGCAAGGCAUUACAAAGCCACUGACCUUUUUACUUUUGUCAAGUAUAAGCAACAGAUACAAGGUGAGGGACUUUUCCCUCAUCAAAGGGCAAGCUGAUAUACUCCCUUGCAAAUUCCUCAGCAAUUUCCCAAGCAAGCUCCCCAUGUACAGCCUUGCAAUACAUAUACAGAACAGUAUUUGUCGCGACAUGGUAAAGGAGUAACAGCAUUAGCAGUGUUGAAGUUACUACAAUUUGCACAACAAAUG